rnacentral:rRNA from 1 species
GACGAACGCUGGCGGCAUGCCUAACACAUGCAAGUCGAACGAGACCUUCGGGUCUAGUGGCGCACGGGUGCGUAACGCGUGGGAAUCUGCCCUUGGGUUCGGAAUAACAGUUAGAAAUGACUGCUAAUACCGGAUAAUGUCUUCGGACCAAAGAUUUAUCGCCCAGGGAUGAGCCCGCGUAGGAUUAGCUAGUUGGUGAGGUAAAGGCUCACCAAGGCGACGAUCCUUAGCUGGUCUGAGAGGAUGAUCAGCCACACUGGGACUGAGACACGGCCCAGACUCCUACGGGAGGCAGCAGUGGGGAAUAUUGGACAAUGGCGAAAGCCUGAUCCAGCAAUGCCGCGUGAGUGAUGAAGGCCUUAGGGUUGUAAAGCACUUUUACCCGGGAUGAUAAUGACAGUACCGGGAGAAUAAGCCCCGGCUAACUCCGUGCCAGCAGCCGCGGUAAU